UUAAAGUGGCAGGUCAAGCACUGUUGAGAACCCUGCUGAUGCCAGAAAAGGAUGGAGGAUCCAAGAAGCCUGAAGAAUGGGAGAAUAAAUAUUAAGAUAACUCUGUGUGCAGACGUGCUGACUUUUUCUAGGCUUAAAAAGACAACUCAUUUGGAACCUGUCGUCUUAUUCUGUGCACCUGUGUGUGUCAGAUCAGCCAUAAGAGCUUCGAAUACAGACCUUCCUGCCCGAUGGGAUGGCAGCUAA
rnacentral:lncRNA from 1 species